rnacentral:ncRNA from 1 species
UAUGUUCCGAUGUAAAAAUCGGCUAAGAGGGAAACAGGUGUAAAUCCUGUACGGUCCCGCCACUGUAAGCAUGGAGUAGAUUCUUAUGACAAUGUCACCCACUGGGCAACUGGGAAGGGAAGAUGAAGCGAUGAUGUGCAAGCCAGGAGACCUGCAUAAAG